AUUGAACGCUGGCGGCAGGCCUAACACAUGCGAGUCGAACGGUAACAGGAAGAAGCUUGCUUCUUUGCUGACGAGUGGCGGACGGGUGAGUAAUGUCUGGGAAACUGCCUGAUGGAGGGGGAUAACUACUGGAAACGGUAGCUAAUACCGCAUAAUGUCGCAAGACCAAAGAGGGGGACCUUCGGGCCUCUUGCCAUCGGAUGUGCCCAGAUGGGAUUAGCUAGUAGGUGGGGUAACGGCUCACCCAGGCGACGAUCCCUAGCUGGUCUGAGAGGAUGACCAGCCACACUGGAACUGAGACACGGUCCAGACUCCUACGGGAGGCAGCAGUGGGGAAUAUUGCACAAUGGGCGCAAGCCUGAUGCAGCUAUGCCGCGUGUAUGAAGAAGGCCUUCGGGUUGUAAAGUACUUUCAGCGGGGAGGAAGGGAGUAAAGUUAAUACCUUUGCUCAUUGACGUUACCCGCAGAAGAAGCACCGGCUAACUCCGUG
rnacentral:rRNA from 1 species